UGUUGGGUUAAGGUCCCGUAACGAGCGCAACCCUUGUCCUUAGUUACCAGCACGUUAUGGUGGGCACUCUAAGGAGACUGCCGGUGACAAACCGGAGGAAGGUGGGGAUGACGUCAAGUCAUCAUGGCCCUUACGGCCUGGGCUACACACGUGCUACAAUGGUCGGUACAAAGGGUUGCCAAGCCGCGAGGUGGAGCUAAUCCCAUAAAACCGAUCGUAGUCCGGAUCGCAGUCUGCAACUCGACUGCGUGAAGUCGGAAUCGCUAGUAAUCGUGAAUCAGAAUGUCACGGUGAAUACGUUCCCGGGCCUU
rnacentral:rRNA from 1 species